GACGAACGCUGGCGGCGUGCUUAACACAUGCAAGUCGAACGGAAAGGCCCUGCUUUUGUGGGGUGCUCGAGUGGCGAACGGGUGAGUAACACGUGAGUAACCUGCCCUUGACUUUGGGAUAACUUCAGGAAACUGGGGCUAAUACCGGAUAGGAGCUCCUGCUGCAUGGUGGUGGUUGGAAAGUUUCGGCGGUUGGGGAUGGACUCGCGGCUUAUCAGCUUGUUGGUGGGGUAGUGGCUUACCAAGGCUUUGACGGGUAGCCGGCCUGAGGGGGUGACCGGCCACAUUGGGCCUGGGAUACGGCCCAGACUCCUACGGGGGGCAGCAGUGGGGAAUAUUGCACAAUGGGCGGAAGCCUGAUGCAGCAACGCCGCGUGCGGGAUGACGGCCUUCGGGUUGAAAACCGCUUUCGCCUGUGACGAAGCGUGAGUGACGGUAAUGGGUAAAGAAGCACCGGCUAACUACGUG
rnacentral:rRNA from 1 species